CCUACGGGAGGCAGCAGUGGGGAAUAUUGCACAAUGGGGGAAACCCUGAUGCAGCGACGCCGCGUGAGCGAUGAAGUAUUUCGGUAUGUAAAGCUCUAUCAGCAGGGGAGAAGAUGACGGUACCUGACUAAGAAGCCCCGGCUAACUACGUGACAGCAGCCCCGGUAAUACGUAGGGGGCAAGCGUUAUCCGGAUUUAAUGGGUGUAAAGGGAGCGUAGACGGGGAUGCAAGCCAGAUGUGAAAGCCCGGGGCUCAACCCCGGGACUGCAUUUGGAACUGUGUGGCUGGAGUGGCGGAGAGGUAGGCGGAAUGCCUAGUGUAGCGGUGAAAUGCGUAGAUAUUAGGAGGAACACCAGUGGCGAAGGCGGCCUGCUGGACGAUGACUGACGUUGAGGCUCGAAAGCGUGGGGAGCAAACAGGAUUAGAUACCCGAGUAGUC
rnacentral:rRNA from 1 species